CAGGGGAAAGUGAGAACACAGUCCGCCACUAUCACCAAUUAUGCAGUCAAGUUUCCCACAGUUGGGUAAAUCGCAGAGGUCAGCGUUUCCAACUUGGAUGGAUGAAACUUGCCCUGGGAAAACCAUCAUGGUAUCUCCCCUGACAGGCACAGACUAUAAGUGUAAGAUGCACAGUCACUGAGGUCUUGGAGGAGAGAGGGGUUACAACUUUAAAGAGAAAAGCCAUCUGUCUGCAUGGCAGUUAUGAUGACAUCAAAUAAGAAGAACUCUUUGGAUUCUAUUUCAGAUCAAAUCAGAGGCAAAGAAGGAAAAAAAUGCAGAAAAGAGAGGGGAGCGGUCCUAAUUUCUCAACUUCACUUGGAAUUAACAAGGCUGAAGUUCUAAUCCUGAAGGAAUAUAAUAAGGAGCUCAUUGAAGGCUCUGGCUGUGCUUUGUCAUCUCAGCUUCUCCAGUGCCCAGCUUAGUGAUAAACAUUAAAUACAGAUCCUACUGAAGUUAAUGAGUGUGUGUGAAUCUAGCUGAUAAGAGGUAAUACUUACAAAACAUUUUUUGUUAUUGACUUUUAUUGUUUAGCCCUAUUUAUCUCAAUCAUGCUAUUUCUUAUCCCAAUGCUUAGGCAUAUGUUUUUCUCACAGUUUUGAUAUGUAACCUAUUUAUAAAAAUAUAGAUGUAGAACAACCCACCUUAGAAAAAUGUGAAAAACAGGACAAAUACAAAAAGUGCAUACAUGAAUCCCACUACCAUUAGAAUUUUAGUGUAUUCCACUCUAGUUUUUUAGAGAGCAUUUAAAAAUGUACUCAUAAUAAUCAAAUCCAUAUAAUUUUGCUUCAAGAAAUACUUAUUUUAAGUACUUGUCUUCAUUCUUCAACAGUCCUUACAAUUAGUAUUGUAAAAACAGCCAGAUAUUUUAUCUAGUGGAUUGGUGACAAUGUCCUAAAAUGUUCUGCUGCUGUUAGAUGUUGAAUUGCUUCUAGUUGUCCCCAGUGUCAUAUUGUGCCUCCACGUAUUUGCCUUUUUGUAUAUUUCGGCCGGCUUCCUUAGGCUAGAUUCCUGGGACUGUGAAUAUUAGGAGCACCUUUCAUAAGUUAUUUGCCAAAUUGCUUCUAGAAGAAUUGUACCACCUUAUGUUGUUAGAAAUAAAUGGGGUAGUGAUUUCACUGCACUUUUAUCAGCAUUUUGGUGUUCAUUUACUUAUUUAUUUUUGCAGUUUCACAUGUCAAAUGGUAUUUGCUUUAACUGACAUUUUCUGGCUACUAGAAAGUUUGAAUGUUUUCAAAUCUAUAUUUGAUAAUUAUUUUUCCUUCUGAUGUUAAUUAUCUGUUUAAGGUCUUGCGAAUUUAUCCAUGUUCUCAGUGACUUUUCUAUCAGCAGUUUGAGUAUUCUAUGUUUUAUACCUGUAAAAAUA
rnacentral:lncRNA from 1 species